UACAGGUGCUGCAUGGCUGUCGUCAGCUCGUGUCGUGAGAUGUUGGGUUAAGUCCUAUAACGAGCGCAACCCUUACCCUUAUUUGCCAGCGGUUCGGCCGGGAACUAUAAGGGAACUGCCGGUAAUAAGCCGGAGGAAGGUGGGGACGACGUCAAGUCAUCAUGGCCCUUACAUGUAGGGCUACACACGUGCUACAAUGGGAGAUACAAACGGUUGCCAAAGCGCGAGCUGGAGCUAAUCCGAUAAAGUCUCUCGUAGUCCGAAUUGCAGUCUGAAACUCGACUGCAUGAAGCCGGAAUCGCUAGUAAUCGCGGAUCAGCAUGCCGCGGUGAAUACGUUCUCGGG
rnacentral:rRNA from 1 species